rnacentral:tRNA from 1 species
CAGGAGAUAAUUUAAUUAAAAUAUUGACUUUGGAAGUUUAAAAUGAUAUAAUAUAUCUCUCCUGA